rnacentral:sRNA from 1 species
AGAGCAUUGUUGGAAGGAUUAGAGGAAUCAGAAUGGGGGGGUCAGAAAAGCCAGAUUCUGGGGGCAGGGGAAAGGGUGGGGAGUGGCUGGGGAAACAGGGCCCGUACCCUGGGUUUCUGCAUGGGGGUUACUCCUUUGCUGCUGGGGGUGAUAGCAGGGUGAUGAGAGCCACCCUGGGCCUGUCCUCCUCCUGGUCAUGCUGUUGUCCUGGGUCCCAGGGUGCCUGGGAAAGGGCACACAACUUUACUGAUGGGUGGCCAGUGGGGAGCGCCCCCAUCGGGCAUUCCACCAGUGGGCUCCGAUGGUCCUGGCCUCCCCAUGUUUAUCUGGCCCAGGGACACCAAGGCUCAGAGAGGUAAACUUGCCCGAGGUCACACAGCUAGGAGGGGGAGCUGAGUCAUCACCCAGGUUUGUCUGCCCCAGGGCUGGAGCUCUGUUUCCAGGCCACCUGACCAGCUGAGGAGAUCGUCAGAAAGGCUGGGACACCAAAGGAUGACGCACAAAUGGAGGAAUUUUCAGGCACGGUCAAAGCUAAUGGGAGGGAAAAUAUUGAAGUGUAAUAUUCCAGAGUUCUCUCUUGUCUGCUCUGACUCCUGCCAGCUGCCCUGCACCUAGAGGGACAGGAGGCUCUUCUCCUGGGCAUUGCAUGGCCGGGAGCCAAAUGAGCUGGCCCCAGAACCUGGUGAGUUGCCUGGCUUUUCAGACCUCAGCCUCCUCACCUGUGAAGUGGGUUGAACAGCUCUUCUCUGCAGAGGAGCUGUGGAGGGCGGUGUGGAACACUGCCAGGCACACAGUUGGCCCUUGACAAAACCAUUCCUGUGUCCCCAGCCUGUUUCUCCCCAAGCCCCAUUGAUGGUUCUGUCCAUCCCCGUUUCCUCAGAAGGUCAGGUUUUCUAAGCCCGAAGGCUUGGAGCCAGCCAGGAGCUGUCUCCCUCUCCAGUGCUGCCGACUCAACCCUUUUCCCUUAGAAGCUGCAUGGGGGGAGGCUCCCCUUGGCUCCCUCCGUCUGCAGCCCUGGCUCUGCGCCCUGGGAAUGCUGCCUGGGGCAGGGCCACGUAGAGAGCAGGGCCAGUGCAGGCCUUUGGGUGUUCCCAGCGGCCAAAGUCCUUUAGUCUGCUUUCCUUUGGGCCCCCUUGCACCCCUGAAUGGACGACCUGGGGGAUUCCAAGUCGGUUUGGGAGGGGUGACAGCACAAGGCUGGAGGUUGGGAGAGUCUGGCUGUCAUCCCAGCUUGGACUGCAGUCUGCUACGUGACCUUUGGGCCAAAGAUAAAUCCUCCCUGGGCCACAGUGUCCCUUCUGGUCAGAUGAAAGAAUCAGAUGAGAUCAUUUCUGAGGCUCUUUCCAGGCUUCAUAUUCUUCUGUUUGAUUAUCCCCCCAAAUAAAUUGGAAAUUGGAGGCUGAAGGAUGAGCCCUGGUUGAGGACGCACAGCCCAGGGGCUGUCCCAUCCUCCACACUUUGCCCGGCUGUGAGUGGAGACUGGGAUUUAGCACCCAAAGCCCCAGAUUUAAAUAUAUCCCCAUUCCCCGCCGGGGUCCCCGCACUCCUGCACCUCCCUCCUCCCAGGACAGCCCUGACCUGCAGGCAUUGUUCCCUGCCCAUGCCCAAGCCCCGAGGGAAUUCCAUGGGGUUGGAGAGUCUUCCCUUCCGUAGGGGGCUUUGCUCCUCUCUACCAGUUAUGUGACCUUGGGCAAGUCACUUCAGCUGCCUGACCCCAGCUCCCUAGGACUAGUUGAAGUAAUGGAUAUAAACACCCUUUGGGGACCAAAAGCCCCUAGAGAGAUGAGACCUGGCCCAGGCAGUAAGUCCUCAACAAAUGUAGAAUAGGGGGAUGCUGUAAACAAGCCGGCCAAAACCCACCAAAUCCCUUGGUGGAGGGUAAGGGACAUUUGAGACAGUCAUUACACAGGAGUCUCGGGCCCCAGGAAGCCAGGGCAGAGAGUCUUUGCCAAACUUCCCCCUGCCUAACAAGAAGGAAACAGGCAGGACCUUGCCAGACCCAGAGGCAAACAGGCUGCCCUCCUGUGAACUUGUUGGGGGUUAUUUCCACAGGGGAAUGGUUAUUUCCACAGGGGAAUAGUUGUAGAAGACCAGGGUGAGUCAGUAACAAUGGCAGAAUUCCAGUCAGAGGAAGAAGACUUUGGUGUAGCUGGGGCUGGAGCAUGGAGGAGCGACUUGGCUGCCGCCCUGGCCCUGUGUAGAGGUGUUAGAACCAGAGCGACUCCAUCUUGAGUAGGGGCUGGGUAAAAUAGGGCUGAGACCUGCUGGGCUGCAUUCCCAGGAGGUUAGGCAUUUUUAGUCACAGGAUGAGACGGGAGUCGGCAGGACUGGUAUCAUAAGAUACAGGUCAUAAAUACCCUGCUGAUAAACAGGAUGUGCUAAACAAGCCGGCCAAAACACACCAAAUCCAAGAUGGUCAUGAAAGUGACCUCUGGUCAUCCUCACUGCUCAUUAUACACUAAUUAUAAUGCAUUAGCAUGCUAAAAGACACUCCCACCAGCACCAUGAGAGUUUACAAAUGUCAUGGCAAUGUCCAGAAAUUACCUUAUACGGUCUAAAAGCGGGAGGAACUCUCAAUUCUGGGGAAACCUCCUCCCCUUUCUUGGAAGACUGAUUAAUAAUCCACCCUUUGUUUAGCAUAUAAUCAAGAAAUAACCAUAAAAACAGCCAACCAGCAGCCCUCAGGGGUGGUCUGUCUAUGGAGUAGCCAUUCUUUUGUUUCUUUACUUCUCUAUAGAUUCGCUUUCACUUUACUCUGUGGACUCACCUCAAAUUCUUUCUUGUGCGAGUCCAGGAACCCUCUCUCGGGGUCUGGAUUGGGACCCCUUUCCAGUACCAUUUUUCUGGUGAACCACGAAGGGACGAUACCAGAGAAACCCCCCAACCCAAAGGAAAUAGACUACAGCCCCAGUUGGCUGACUUUGGCUAUAGAAAAAAGAAAGGAAAGAAAAGAGACAGUUUUUUUGGAAAGCUAAGUCUUCCCUUUAUCAGUCAAGAAACCCCCCCUUCUUGAGCUAUUUACAGCUUUUAACAAUUGAGUAAAGUAUGCUCCUGCCUUUGAAUCAAACAAGACCCCACUGGAUCACCAAAGAGUUAAGCAAAGGAAAUCCCUGCCUCCCUUUAUCUCCGCAGAACCCAGAGGCUGAAAGGGAGGGAGCAGGGAGGAGGGGAAGUGGGAAGCGGCUCUGCCCUCUCCCUCCGCCCUCCCUCCGCCCUCUCUCCCUCCAUCCCCUCCUCUCUCCCUCCUCUGCUGGGCCUGGGGGUCUGGGCCAGCAACAAGUUAGUGUUGCAGACAUGGGCCAAGGAGCCAGAGGCCAUGCAGUGGCUCAGGGUCCGUGAGUCGCCUGGGGAGGCCACAGGACACAGGAACUAUGGUGUUCUCACACCAAAGCGUGGGCUCAGCCACCCAUCCCCUCUCCUGAGAACAAGCCUACAGAACCCUCCACGUUUGUCCCCAGUGUUCACUAACCUCUGUCCUCCUGCCCGGAGGGCAUGUGUUUGCUGGUGAUAGUGGAGUCGGUGGCAAGAAAAUGCCAGAGGGAGGUCACCAUGGGGACAGCUGCCCUGGGUCCCCUCUGGGCAGCGCUCCUGCUCUUUCUCCUGAUGUGUGAGAUCCCUACGGUGGAGCUCACCUUUGACAGAGCUGUGGCCAGCGGCUGCCAACGGUGCUGCGACUCUGAGGACCCCCUGGAUCCUGCCCAUGUGUCCUCAGCCUCUUCCUCCGGCCCCCCCUACGCCCUGCCUGAGAUCAGACCCUACAUUAACAUCACCAUCCUGAAGGGACAGGGGCACAGCCAUCACAGAUGAGUGUGGGCACCUCCUUGGAGCAGGCUCAGAUGUCCACCCUGACUUGUCCCCUUUUUACCCCCACAGUGGGCCGCAAGACGGCCCUGCACAGCGGCGAGGACUUCCAGACACUGCUCUUCGAAAGGGUCUUUGUGAACCUUGAUGGGUGCUUUGACAUGGCGACCGGCCAGUUUGCUGCUCCCCUGCGCGGCAUCUACUUCUUUAGCCUCAAUGUGCACAGCUGGAAUUACAAGGAGACGUACGUGCACAUUAUGCACAACCAGAAGGAGGCCGUCAUCCUGUACGCGCAGCCCAGCGAGCGCAGCAUCAUGCAGAGCCAGAGCGUGAUGCUGGACCUGGCCUACGGGGACCGCGUCUGGGUGCGGCUCUUCAAGCGCCAGCGCGAGAAUGCCAUCUACAGCAACGACUUCGACACCUACAUCACCUUCAGCGGCCACCUCAUCAAGGCCGAGGAUGACUGAGGGCCUCCGGGCCACCCUCCCGGCCGGAGAGCUCAGCUGAUACGGCAUCCUGCGAGAAGACCUGCCCUCCUCACUGGGAUCCCCUUCCUGCCUCCUCCCAGGGCUCUGCCAGGGCCUUGCUCAGUCCCUUCCACCAAAGUCAUCUGAACUUCAGUUUCCCCAGGGCCUCCAGCUGCCCUCAGACACUGAUGUCUGUCCCCAGGUGCUCUCUGCCCCUCAUGCCCCUCUCACCGACCCAGUGCCCUGACUCUCCAGGCUUUAUCAAGGUGCUAAGGCCCGGGUGGGCAGCUCCUCGUCUCAGAGCCCUCCUCCGGCCUGGUGCUGCCUUUACAAACACCUGCAGGAGAAGGGCCAGGGAAGCCCCAGGCUUUAGAACCCUCAGCAGGUCUGGGGAGCUAAAGCAAAGGAAGAACCUCGGGCCUUCCGUUUCUUCUUCCAGGGUGGGGUGGCCUAGUGUCCCCCUAGCCUUCCAAACCCAGGUGGCCUGCCCUUCUCCCCAGAGGGAGGCGGCCUCCGCCCAUUGGUGCUCAUGCAGACUCUGGGGCCGAGGUGCCCUGGGGGGUGAUCUCUGGUGCUCACAGCCGAGGGAGCCGUGGCUCCAUGGCCAGAUGACAGAAACAGGGUCUGACCAAGUGCCAGGAAGACCUGUGCUAUAAACCACCCUGCCUGAUCCUGCCCUGGCCUGACCCUGCCACGCCCUGCCGUCCAGCAUGAUUAAAGAAUGCUGUCUCCUCUUGG